rnacentral:tRNA from 1 species
GCCUGGGUGGCUCAGUCAGCUAAGCGUCUGACUUCAGCUCAGGUCACUAUCUCGCAGUUCGUGGGUUCGAGCCCUGCGUCAGGCU